rnacentral:miRNA from 1 species
GUGUGCUUUGUGACAAUGAGA